UUUUUUUUUUUUUUUUUUGAUGAGUAUGAAAUGUUCUUCAUUACAUUUUUGAUAACUUUUGGUUGAAAGUUGAUUUUAUUCGAUAUUAGAAUGCUUACUCCAGCUUGUUUCUUGGGACCAUUUGCUUGGAAAAUUGUUUUCCAGCCCUCUGUUCUGAAAUUGUAUGUGUAUUUGAUGCUGAGAUGUGUUUCCUGAAUGCGGCAAAAUGCUGGGUGCUGUUUAUGAAGCCAGUCUGUUAGUCUAUAUCUUUUUAUUAGCAAACUGAGUUCAUUGAUGUUAAAAGAUAUUAAGAACCAGUGAUUGUUGCUUCCUGUUAUUUUUGAUGUUAGAAGUGGAAUUAUGUUUGUUUUGUUAUCGUCUUUGGGGGUUCUUGAAAGAAAAUUACUCUCUUGCAUUUUAUAGGGUGUAGUUUCCCUCCUGUAUUAGAGUUUUACAUUUAUUAUCCCUUUUAGGGAGGGAUUUUUUAAAAAAGAUAUUGUGUAAGUUUGUUUUUGUAAUGGAAUAUCCUGGUUUCUUCAUCUAUGGUAAUUGAGAGUUUUGCUAGGUAUAGUAGCCUGAGCUGGAAUUUGAGUUAUCUUAGGGUCUGCAUGAUGGCUGCCUGGGAUCUUCUAGCAUUCAUAGUCUCUGGUGAGAAGUCUGAUGUAAUUCUGAUAAGUCUGCAUUUAUAUGUUACUUGACCUUUUUCCCUUACUGCUUUUAAUAUUCUUUCAUUGUGUUCUGCAUUUUGUGUUUUGACUAGUAUGUGAUAAGAGAUAUUUCUUUUCUGGUGCAGUCUAUUUGGAGUUCUGUAGGCUUCUUGUAUGUUCAUUGCCAUCUCUUUCUAUAGGUUAGGCAAGUUUUCUUCUAAAAUUUUGUCAAAGAUAUUUACUGGCCCUUUAAUUUGGGAAUCUUCUCUCUUCUAUACCAAUUAUCCUUAUGUUUGCUUUUCCUAUUGUGUCCUGGAUUUCCUGGAUGUUUUUAGUUAGGAGCAUUUUGCAUUUUCUUUGACUGUUGUGUCAAUAUUUUCUAUGGUAUCAUCUGCCCCUGAGAUUCUCUUUUUUAUAUCUUGUAUUCUGUUAGUGAUGCUUGUGUCUAUGAAUCCUGAUCUCUUUUUCUAGUUUUUUUACCCCCCAGGGUUGUCUCCCCUUGUUAUUUCCUUUAUUGUUUUUAUUCUCAUAUUUAGAUCCUGAAUGGUUUUCUUUAGUUCUUUCACCUGUUUUGUUGUGUUUUCUUGUAAUUCUUUAAGGGAUGUAUGUGAUUCCUCUUUAAUAGCUUCUACGUGUUUACAUGAAAUUGUAUUUCUUUUUUUUUUUUAAAGUUUUCAACAUCUUUUUUUAUUAAACAAUUUUUAUUAGAUAUUUUCUUCAUUUACAUUUCAAAUGCUAUUCCGAAAAUCCCCUGUGCCCUCCCUCACCUGUAUAUCUUUAAGGGAGUUAUUCAUGUCCUUCUUAAUGUCCUCUAUCAUCAUCAUCAUGAGAAGUGAUUUUAAAUCAGAGUCUUGCUUUUCUGGUGUGUUGGGGUAUCUACAGCUUACUUUGGUGAGAUUUCUGGUUGUAAUGAUGCCAACUGAUUUCUGUUGCUUGUGUUCUUGUCCUUGCCUCUUGCCAUCUGGUGGACUCUGGUGUUACCUGGUCUUUCUGACUCUGACUGUGGCUUUUCCCUCCUGCAGGACUGUAUCUCAGUACUCCUGGGAGACCAGUUUUCUCUGGGAGGAACUUGAAUAUGGAGAGCUGUAGCACAGGUCAACACUGGGGUGCAGACUGAAACCUGAAGGAUCCUGUCCCUGGCUGUCCCUUGGUUCCUUUGUCUUGAUGGCUCUGGGCAGGUCCCUCUUGGGUCAGAAAUUUGAGCAGAAGUGGUGAUUUUACCUGUGCUCACAGGUGUGUCAGCACUCCUGGGAGAUUAUCUAUCUCCUGGUGGUGUUUGGGUAUGGAGAUCUGUAGCACAGAAUCAUCUCACAACUACGUCCUUAGUAAAAUUGCUUUGUGAGAUUCCCACAAAGUUACCUCGAGUUGGGUCCACUGAUGAGGAAAUGUUACGGUAUUGACUACUUGUACAAUUUCUUCUGCAUUUCUCUCUUUUGUAGCUCUUUUACCUUUAUAAUGAGAUAGAAAUGCUAAUAAAACUCUCUGAGG
rnacentral:lncRNA from 1 species